AUCUCGGCAGUAGCCAUGGCGUCCAUGAGUUUACUGCAGCUGGCUUCGGUCACUGCGGUGGCCGCACUGUGUGGCCGCCGCCUUGGCACUCGGCUUGGUUUCGGGGACUUCCUCACGCGAGGCGUUCCGAAGACUAUCGCUCCUGUGCGACACAGUGGAGACCAUGGAAAAAGACUGUUUAUCAUCAAACCUUCUGGAUUCUAUGACAAGCGUUUUCUGAGUUUACUGAAAUUCUACAUUUUGUUGACUGGGGUUCCAGUAGUAAUUGGCAUAACUCUGGUGAAUAUAUUCAUUGGUGAAGCUGAGUUAGCAGAAAUCCCAGAAGGCUAUGUCCCAGAACACUGGGAAUAUUUCAAGCAUCCUAUAUCAAGAUGGAUUGCCCGAACUUUCUAUGAUAGUCCUGAAAAGAAUUAUGAAAAAACAAUGGCUAUCCUUCAAAUUGAAGCUGAAAAGGCUGAAUUGCGGUUAAAGGAGCAGGAUGUACGAAGAUUAAUGCGUGCGAGAGGCGAUGGUCCCUGGUAUCAGUAUCCAACCAUUGAUAAGGAGCUUAUUGAUCAUGCUCUAAAAGCAAGCCCUGACAACUAAUCUUUUUAUUUCUCUAAAUACAAAGUAUAUUCUC